UGUCUCCUGGGGUGCGCGUUUGUACAUACAUGUCCCUGGCCGAUGCUACUUAUUUAGGAAGUUGACUUAACUGCUUUUGUGUAAGCUUGACCCGUAUCAAGAAACCUACGGCAGUGAUGAUAUUUCCGCCCUGAACAUUUCGGCGUUCGGGCGAAUUAUGUGCGGCGGCAUCUUGGGUGAUUC
rnacentral:other from 1 species